rnacentral:rRNA from 1 species
AUUGAACGCUGGCGGCAUGCCUUACACAUGCAAGUCGAACGAGUGGCGAACGGGUGUGUAAUACAUCGGAACGUGCCCUGUAGUGGGGGAUAACUAGUCGAAAGACUAGCUAAUACCGCAUACUAUAGGAGCGGACGAUGUCUGAUUAGCUGGUUGGUGGGGUAAGGGCCUACCACGGCGACGAUCAGUAGCUGGGCUGAGAGGACGAUCAGCCACAAGGGGACGGAGACACGGCCCAGACUCCUACGGGGGGCAGCAGUGGGGAAUUUUGGACAAGGGGGGCAACCCUGAUGCAGCAAUGCGGCGUGUGUGAAGAAGGCCUUCGGGUUGUAAAGCACUUUUGUCCGGGAAGCGGUACCGGAAGAAUAAGGACCGGCUAACUACGUGCCAGCAGCCGCGGUAAUAC